CCUACGGGUGGCUGCAGUGAGGAAUAUUGGUCAAUGGGCGCAAGCCUGAACCAGCAAUGCCGCGUGUGGGAUGACGGCGCUUUGCGUUGUAAACCACUGUCGGACGGGACGAAAAGAGGCAACAGCCUCCGAGGCGGUACCGUCAAAGGAAGGGUCGGCUAACUACGUGCCAGCAGCCGCGGUAAUACGUAGGACCCAAGCGUUGUCCGGAUUCACUGGGUAUAAAGGGUGCGUAGGCGGUCUUGUGCGUGGAAUAUCCGGGCUCAACCCGGAGGGUGCCUUUGAUACGGCAGGACUUGAGUGCGAGAGAGGAUGAUGGAAUUCCUGGUGUAGCGGUGAAAUGCGUAGAUAUCAGGAGGAACACCGGUGGCGAAGGCGGUCAUCUGGCUCGCAACUGACGCUGAGGCACGAAAGCGUGGGGAUCAAACAGGAUUAGAUACCCCGGUAGUC
rnacentral:rRNA from 1 species